AGGUGAGGUAGCUGUGGCUUGUUCUGUCUAUCUGAUCUACCAGCAUUGACCCCAAUAACUAGCCUCAGGUUUGAUUUUAUUAAUAAGAACUUUUAAGAUUCAUGCUGCAGUUGGGGGACAGAAACAAGCCAGGGCUGACAGAGGAGGACGGGCCAAAAGGGAUGGACUGAAACAGCCAUGAGAAGUGGGAGAGCCCGGGAAACAGAUUCUCCAACACAGCCUCCAGGAGGAGCCAGCCCUGCGGACACAGUUCAGGCUUCUGACAUCUAAAACUCUAGGGAAAAAUGUGUGAAGGGUGUUUUAUCACAGCCACAGAAAUGAAAGCGGGAUAAAGUAUUCGGAGGCAGAUGUACUUCCCUGGUUACGGAGAAGCACUGAGGUGGCAGGGAUCUCGGCUGCUGCCCCCCAAAUGAGCACUAGUAGAUACCGCCAUGGUGCCUCCCCUCUUCCACAGAGACUACUGUGGGGACCCUCGUUUGGUGCCAAGGGCUUCUGUCUUCAGAUUGGCCUCCCCACGUCUCUCAUUGUUGGGAGCUGCUGCUUUCCUGUGCUCCCCUUUAGGAUGGCUGCCCCCGGCGCUGCAUUGCCCUCUGCGUGGCACCAGUGCAGCAAGGACGUGAAGGGAUCCCACACCGAGAGUGAGCGUUCAUUCGUAGCGAAGACACCCAAGGCCCAGAGAGCACUGAGCCCAACCUCACCCAUGCCUCCUCCCAUUUGCUGCCACCAAGAAUGUGCAGAGUUCCAGGGGGGCUGCAGAGUGGACUGGACCCCCAGCCCCAGCGGUGGCACAGGUGACUGAAGACAAGGAGGUCACCUAAGUCUAACGUCCAUUUGGCACAUGAGUUGGACACAAGAGUGCUGGUCUUGAAGACCCUCCGCCUCGAACAGCACCCUCUCUGUUUCCUGCAAAUCCCUGGAACCGGCCUUGAGGACCUGCUGUGGAGCCUUCAGAUGCUCUCAGGAUGAGCACAGCCUUCCAGCUACACCCAUAGAGCCAGACGAGGUGGAGGGGGGGGGCAAAUGGGCAAAUGAGGGUUUUACAUCUCACCCCUCACUUAAACAGUGGGGUGGCUCAGCAACCCUCUCCUCGAGGUGUUAUGGGGGUCUGGGCACUACUCAACCUAGAACCCCGAGCCCAGGCCACCUUGCCUGCUCUCACAGCUCUAUCUAACCCCUGUCAGCUGCUGUUUCUCUGCAGGCCAGGAUAGUAACCAGCACACUAUUGGUCCUCACAGAUGGAUUGCUCAGUAAAUACCCUAGAACAGAGCCUGUCAGUUACUUCUGUAAAUAAAAUUUUACCAGAACACAGCUGCACAUGUUGGUUGCUUGCAACGUUGUCCCCGGCUCCCUCUCAGAGACUAGCCUGGAGCUGACAGGCUGCAGCAGAGACACCACAGCCAGCCGGACCGAUUUUCUGUUGCUCAAGUGUUGGCUGAGGCUGUACAUUGCAGAGUUCCUCAAUAGGGAAGGGGAGGCAGAGGCUCGCUGCUCACCAAUAUCAUGUGAUAUUAAAUCACAUCUGCACCUCAGUUUUCUGCCUAUUCAAACUUGGGGCAAGUCUCUAAGUUUCCCUUGGGAUUUAAACCCCUAGUAGCUGUGUGUUCAGGAUUGAAUUCUACCUGUCAUGAUGUCCUUUCUCGCACCCAUCAGGCUCUAGCUGACAUUCAGAAAGUGAGUGCUACAAGAGCUGGGAGAAGCCUGGAGCCCGCUGCACACCACUGGUGGGCAAGCCAGAGGGAACAGGCCUGUGGGAAACAGCACAGGGGUUCUCAGAGCGUUUAAAGCAGGGUGCAGACAUCUUAGCCAGCAGAGAAAUGCCAACCCAAACUGGUUUGUGAUUCUAUCCCACCCCAGUCAGAGUGGCCACCAUCAAGGGAGCAGAAUAUAAAUGCUGGUGAGGAUGUAAGGGAAGAGGAGCCCUUGUUCACUGCUGGUGGGGUGUAAACUUGUGCAGCCACAACGGAAACCAGUGUGGAGAUUUCUCAUAAAGUGAAAAACAGAAUUACCAUGUGACCCAACUCUGCCACUCCUGGGCAUCUGCCCGAAGGCCUCCAAGUCCACAUAUCACAGAGAGGCUCAUGCAGCCACGUCUAUUGCAGCUCUAGCCAGCAAAUGGAAGUAGCCUAGUUGUCAAUAAGUAGAAGAUGGACAAUGAAAAUAUGGUGCUUAUGCACGGUGGCAUUUUAUGCAUCCAUAAAGAAAUCAUGACAUUUGCAGGAAAAUGGAUGCAACUGAGAUGAUUGCGUUAAAUAAA